GUGGCGAACGGGUGAGUAACACGUGAGUAACCUGCCCUUGACUCUGGGAUAAGCGUUGGAAACGACGUCUAAUACCGGAUACGAGCUGAGACCGCAUGGUCAUCAGUUGGAAAGAAUUUUGGUCAAGGAUGGACUCGCGGCCUAUCAGCUUGUUGGUGAGGUAAUGGCUCACCAAGGCGACGACGGGUAGCCGGCCUGAGAGGGUGACCGGCCACACUGGGACUGAGACACGGCCCAGACUCCUACGGGAGGCAGCAGUGGGGAAUAUUGCACAAUGGGCGCAAGCCUGAUGCAGCAACGCCGCGUGAGGGAUGACGGCCUUCGGGUUGUAAACCUCUUUUAGUAGGGAAGAAGCGAAAGUGACGGUACCUGCAGAAAAAGCACCGGCUAACUACGUGCCAGCAGCCGCGGUAAUACGUAGGGUGCAAGCGUUGUCCGGAAUUAUUGGGCGUAAAGAGCUCGUAGGCGGUUUGUCGCGUCUGCUGUGAAAAC
rnacentral:rRNA from 1 species